AAACUAACCAGGAUUCCCCCAGUAACGGCGAGUGAAGCGGGAAGAGCUCACGUUGUAAAUCUGACUUCGGUCCGAAUUGUAGUCUGGAGAGGCGCGACCAGCUGGAGACGGGGGCNAAGUCUCUUGGAAAAGAGCAUCAAGGAGGGUGACAAUCCCGUUCUUGCCCCCGCCCUCCACGCGUACGGUCCGUUUUCUACGAGUCGAGUUGCUUGGGAUUGCAGCUCAAAGCGGGUGGUAAAUUCCAUCUAAAGCUAAACACGGGUGGGAGACCGAUAGCGAACAAGUACCGUGAGGGAAAGAUGCAAAGAACUUUGAAAAGAGAGUUAAAGAGUGCCUGAAAUUGCUGAAAGGGAAGCGAAGGAAACCAGUGUCUGGCGGGUCCGCUUCUCCUCCGCCCCUCGGGGCGUUGGUUUGCGUUUCCGCCGUGGCCAGGGCCGGGUAGCUUUGCGGGAGGCUGCGCUUCGGGAGGUAGCAUCUCUUCGGAAUGUGAAUACCGUGGCGUUUUCGUCGCUAGGCUGGCCGGUUCUGACGAAAUGGUUUUCUUUACCCCGUCUUGAAACAC
rnacentral:rRNA from 1 species